GGGACCGUAGGGUAGCUUGGCCCAUCCUUCUGGCUUUGGGAGCCAGUGACCUGCGUUCAAAUCGCGGCGGUCCCACCA
rnacentral:tRNA from 1 species